GUUGGAAUAGUCUUGGUGAGGAUGGAGGAAGACCUCAAGGAAGCAUUAACCAUGGGUUUGCAGAAAAGCAGAUAAUGAAGGAGGGGCUCAGACACAUGAAGAAAAUUGACCAAGUUUACACAGCUAGUUGGAGUGGGACUUCUUGAUCAUCACUGGUGCUCUGCAUUUCUUCUAGUGAACACUUUCUCCAGCAAAUAAACAAAGACACUUCCCAGAUGCCGAGAAUAUCCAUGGCUAUUUAAUUGGUUGACAAGGCAAAUUGUUAAUAAUAACAAUAAAAUAAUCUACAGUACUAAAUUAUUUAUGGAAA